rnacentral:rRNA from 1 species
GACGAACGCUGGCGGCGUGUUUAACACAUGCAAGUCGAACGAAUUCGCGAACGGGUGAGUAACGCGUAAUCAACCUGCCCUUCAGGGGGGGACAACAGUUGGACACGACUGCUAAUACCGCAUACUGAAGGGGGGGAUUGCGUCUGAUUAGCUAGUUGGCGGGGUAACGGCCCACCAAGGCGAUGAUCAGUAGCCGGUCUGAGAGGGUGAACGGCCACAUUGGGACUGAGACACGGCCCAGACUCCUACGGGAGGCAGCAGUGGGGAAUCUUCCGCAAUGGACGAAAGUCUGACGGAGCAACGCCGCGUGAGUGAUGACGGCCUUCGGGUUGUAAAGCUCUGUUAAUCGGGACGCGGUACCGGAAUAGAAAGCCACGGCUAACUACGUGCCAGCAGCCGCGGUAAUUC